UACGUAGGGUGCAAGCGUUAAUCGGAAUUACUGGGCGUAAAGCGUGCGCAGGCGGUGAUGUAAGACAGAUGUGAAAUCCCCGGGCUCAACCUAGGAACUGCAUUCGAAACUGGUCACCUAGAGUGAUGGAGAGGAAAGCGGAAUUCCCGGUGUAGAGGUGAAAUUCGUAGAUAUCGGGAGGAACACCAGUGGCGAAGGCGGCUUUCUGGACAUUUACUGACGCUGAGACGCGAAAGCGUGGGGAGCAAACAGG
rnacentral:rRNA from 1 species